CAGUGCGAUUGUGUUCCUGCUAUGUGUUGCCUUUGCUUUAAGUCUGAUUGUGAUAACUGUCCUCAUUUAUUCCAGAGACAUUUGCAAAGGUGUGCAAAACCCUGCUGGGCAGCAAAGCCAGAAUUUAAGCAAUUUAAGGGUUUAUUCUGCUGCCGUCUUCACCGUUAUGAAAAAAGGCAGCGAUGGAACAGGAGACGCAGCGGAGAGAGAGAAGAUCUACGCUGCUGUCAGAGUUUUAGGGUUGAAUUAGCAACACGGUGAUGUCCAG